GCGGCUCUGCCCGCAUCGCGCGUCCGUCCCCGGGCCCUGCGGCGGGCAGCGAGCGCUCUUUGUCUGCGCUGUUAGACAAACAAAACGAAAGCACCGGGCCCAAGGAACAGGGAGCCGUUUUCCAAGCUUUCUUAAAACAGGCUUUAAGUAAGCAGAGUCCUGUAUUAACAAAUACCUUAGAAUAGAAACUGAGCCAAGAUAACUGAAAAGGCUGUUAGUGCCAGAAGGGUUGAUAUAAAAUCAGACACUGAGGGCACCUGCAUUUUCUGAAGGUUAGAUGGAAUCAGGGUGUUUCUGGUUUAAUUCCAACAUCUCUUAUAAGUUCCUUAUGAGCAGCAUUGCUUACUUUGCAGAGGCAAGACAAGAGCCAAGCAAAUCCAGAACACAGUUAAAUAGCUACACCAGGAUUUACUGACAGAAAGGGGUCUUGGAUACUGCUGUCACAUCCACUUGGAAUCUGUCCAAGCAGCCCGGCUAAAGGGGAGCGACAGGCAGCGGGGGUCACCCCUG